UGGUCGGCUGUUUAGUGUGUACCACACGCCCUCACAGUUUCUGUCACACACUCGGACAACGUGAAUACAGAAACCGGUUGUCUUAAAGGCACGAAGAAACACCUGAACGAGCGGCGACGAGCUGCUGGCCGGUAUCUGACUCGGGUCUCACUCUGAGCACAUCAUUGGUUCCGUUGACAUCCGUUACCAUACCGCACUGAUGACAUCUUAUUUAAGCGCGCAGCAGACGACAAGACAAGAAACUUGUGUUAUCAGGUGUUAAUGUGUUUUGUGCCUUAUCUCACUCAACCAAACACACUACAUAAAAAAAUAUGCCGCUCAGAAAGAGCCAGAAAGAAGGGGUAGACUGCAGUGUUCACUCUUCUGUUUCACUGGAGACAGGAACAGGCUUGUCUGUUCCUGCAUGGAUUAAUAAAUCAGCGGCCCCACAGAUAGAAAGCAAGAAGGAAACCGAGAAGACCAGCAUCUCAAGACAAGAUAAGGCCAUAAAAGGCGAACCAGUGAAAUUCUGCCCUUUGUAGGCAAAACGAGCUGUGGCUGUCAGACGCAGAGUCCCCGAGCG